rnacentral:misc_RNA from 1 species
AAUAGAACGGAGUGCUGUAAGCAGUAGAGUAGCCUUGUUGCUACGAUCUGCUGAGGCUCAGCUCUUGUUCUACAGAUUUGUGCUUUUGCACUCUCUCCGGUUGUGACGGAGUGGGGCAGUCAUACUGUCCUGCUUGGUGACUAUCGUAGACAGUGACUAUAGAGCAUAAGUUGGUAGGAGGAAGGCGAGUUCAGAGAGGCGAAGGUGAACUUGGCUGCGACUUGGUAGUUUUUCUCGAGUUGGGCUCGUGCGUGGGCUCGGGCCUUGCACUAACCGAAGAACCUGAAAGUUGAAAGUAGAUAUAAGAGGCAUGUGAGUCUAUUGGGCGCUUGAGGAUCCCUUCAGGUGUCCGAUGUUGGGCUUAGAGGUCCGGGCGCGCGCAGUUUAAGAGGGGAUGAAAGACAUACUAGUAUCUACGGCCAUAGGACUGAGAAAAUACCGCAUCCCGU